rnacentral:rRNA from 1 species
AUUGAACGCUGGCGGCAGGCUUAACACAUGCAAGUCGAGCGGAGAUGAGGUGCUUGCACCUUAUCUUAGCGGCGGACGGGUGAGUAAUGCUUAGGAAUCUGCCUAUUAGUGGGGGACAACAUUCCGAAAGGAAUGCUAAUACCGCAUACGUCCUACGGGAGAAAGCAGGGGAUCUUCGGACCUUGCGCUAAUAGAUGAGCCUAAGUCGGAUUAGCUAGUUGGUGGGGUAAAGGCCUACCAAGGCGACGAUCUGUAGCGGGUCUGAGAGGAUGAUCCGCCACACUGGGACUGAGACACGGCCCAGACUCCUACGGGAGGCAGCAGUGGGGGAUAUUGGACAACGGGGGAAACCCUGAUCCAGCCAUGCCGCGUGUGUGAAGAAGGCCUUAUGGUUGUAAAGCACUUUAAGCGAGGAGGAGGCUACUGAGACUAAUACUCUUGGAUAGUGGACGUUACUCGCAGAAUAAGCACCGGCUAACUCUGUGCCAGCAGCCGCGGUAA